GUGAUGCCCAGCUUGCUGGGCGGAUCAGUGGCGAACGGGUGAGUAACACGUGAGUAACCUGCCCCAGACUCCGGGAUAAGCCUUGGAAACGAGGUCUAAUACUGGAUACGAGACGCCCCUGCAUGGGGAGUGUCUGGAAAGAUUUAUCGGUCUGGGAUGGACUCGCGGCCUAUCAGCUUGUUGGUGGGGUAAUGGCCUACCAAGGCGACGACGGGUAGCCGGCCUGAGAGGGCGACCGGCCACACUGGGACUGAGACACGGCCCAGACUCCUACGGGAGGCAGCAGUGGGGAAUAUUGCACAAUGGGCGAAAGCCUGAUGCAGCGACGCCGCGUGAGGGAUGAAGGCCUUCGGGUUGUAAACCUCUUUCAGCAGGGAAGAAGCGCAAGUGACGGUACCUGCAGAAGAAGCGCCGGCUAACUACGUGCCAGCAGCCGCGGUAAUACGUAGGGCGCAAGCGUUGUCCGGAAUUAUUGGGCGUAAAGAGCUCGUAGGCGGUUUGUCGCGUCUGGUGUGAAAACUCAAGGCUCAACCUUGAGCUUGCAUCGGGUACGGGCAGACUAGAGUGCGGUAGGGGUGACUGGAAUUCCUGGUGUAGCGGUGGAAUGCGCAGAUAUCAGGAGGAACACCGAUGGCGAAGGCAGGUCACUGGGCCGCAACUGACGCUGAGGAGCGAAAGCAUGGGGAGCGAACAGGAUUAGAUACCCUGGUAGUCCAUGCCGUAAACGUUGGGCACUAGGUGUGGGGCUCAUUCCACGAGUUCCGUGCCGCAGCAAACGCAUUAAGUGCCCCGCCUGGGGAGUACGGCCGCAAGGCUAAAACUCAAAGGAAUUGACGGGGGCCCGCACAAGCGGCGGAGCAUGCGGAUUAAUUCGAUGCAACGCGAAGAACCUUACCAAGGCUUGACAUACACCGGAAACUUCCAGAGAUGGUUGCCCCGCAAGGUCGGUGUACAGGUGGUGCAUGGUUGUCGUCAGCUCG
rnacentral:rRNA from 1 species